rnacentral:rRNA from 1 species
UACGGAGGGUGCAAGCGUUAUCCGGAUUCACUGGGUUUAAAGGGUGCGUAGGUGGGAAUGUAAGUCAGUGGUGAAAUCUCCGUGCUCAACAUGGAAACUGCCAUUGAUACUAUGUUUCUUGAAUUUUCUGGAGGUCAGCGGAAUAUGUCAUGUAGCGGUGAAAUGCUUAGAUAUGACGCAGAACACCAAUUGCGAAGGCAGCUGGCUACAGGGAUAUUGACACUGAGGCACGAAAGCGUGGGGAUCAAACAGG